rnacentral:rRNA from 1 species
CACCGCGGUUAUACGAGGGGCCCAAGUUGACACAAACCGGCGUAAAGAGUGGUUAAUGAUAACUAAACUAAAGCCAAACACCUUCAAGGCCGUCAUACGUACCCGAGGGCAGGAAGCUCCCCAACGAAAGUGGCUUUAACCAAAUUUGAACCCACGAAAGCUAGGACA